UGCCCAGCAACUCCUAUCCCUACCUCCUCGUGGUACUGGCCGGGGUACGAGUAUCCUUAGGGAAGAUCUGGUAACCAACCCCGGUAGGAACUUUGGUCCUAUGCUGACAGGGAAGG
rfam:Aedes aegypti strain Liverpool supercont1.3909 genomic scaffold, whole genome shotgun sequence.